rnacentral:lncRNA from 1 species
ACCAUCAGACAUGUGGUAACAUCAAAAUCAUUUGAACUGUACUUUCAAGUUAAGUCAACUAUUUGCUAAUCUAUGUUAACCUUCAGCCCAACUCUAUGACAAUCUGAACAGACCAGAGUUAGUUUCUGAUGAAACAUGAUCAGAUCAAUUGUUUAUCGAUCUAUCAUAUGGUAUGUUGUACCAAGAUCGAUGUGAUCGAUAUGAUUUUAAAAUACACAGAC